CCAGACUCCUACGGGAGGCAGCAGUGAGGAAUAUUGGUCAAUGGCCGAGAGGCUGAACCAGCCAAGUCGCGUGAGGGAUGACGGCCCUACGGGUUGUAAACCUCUUUUGUCGGGGAGCAAAGAGAGUCACGUGUGGCUCAUUGAGAGUACCCGAAGAAAAAGCAUCGGCUAACUCCGUGCCAGCAGCCGCGGUAAUACGGAGGAUGCGAGCGUUAUCCGGAUUUAUUGGGUUUAAAGGGUGCGCAGGCGGAGGUGCAAGUCAGUGGUCAAAUUGCGGGGCUCAACCCCGUACUGCCGUUGAAACUGCAUCCCUUGAGUGCGCGAGAAGUAUGCGGAAUGCGUGGUGUAGCGGUGAAAUGCGUAGAUAUUAGGAGGAACACCAGUGGCGAAGGCGGCUUACUGGACUGUAACUGACGUUGAGGCUCGAAAGCGUGGGGAGCAAACAGGAUUAGAUACCCGGGUA
rnacentral:rRNA from 1 species